CUGAGCUAGUGAUGAUAAGAGUUAUCCCUGGCUGAAAUGAAUCUUUUCUGUGUGGAAGCAUAACUCUGAGGCUCAG
rfam:Picoides pubescens contig32918, whole genome shotgun sequence.